rnacentral:rRNA from 1 species
GGCGGCAUGCCUAAUACAUGCAAGUCGAAUGAGAAGCUUGCUUCUCAUGGCGAACGGGUGAGUAACACGUAGGUAACCUGCCUUACACUCGAGGAUAACCGUGGAAACGACGGAUAAUACUGGAUAGGACAGAGAUUCGCAUGAGACUCUGUUUAAAAGCAAUGGUGUAUGAGGGGCCUGCGGUGCAUUAGCUAGUUGGUGAGGUAACGGCUCACCAAGGCGAUGAUGCAUAGCUGGACUGAGAGGUUGAACAGCCACAAUGGGACUGAGAACGGCCCAUACUCCUACGGGAGGCAGCAGUAGGGAAUUUUCGGCAAUGGGGGAAACCCUGAACCCGAGCAAUGCCGCGUGAACGAUGAAGUAUUUCGGUAUGUAAAGUUCUUUUAUUAGGAAAGAUAGUGACGGUACCUAAUGAAUAAGCUCCGGCUAACUACGUGCCAGCCGCUGC